CCAAGUGGGGGCAUGUGCACACUCUGUUCACACAUCCACUCACACCUGUGCACCUUCUGUAGUUCUAUAGCUUGGGGGCUCUGUCUUCCUUCUGUGGUUCUACGUCUUUACAUACACACCGUUAUAAAGUCUUGUGGAAUGUGCGCCGCGUUUAACGCAAUACAAUACAACUUUCAGCAACGGAUCUCUUGGCUCUCGCAUCGAUGAAGAACGCAGCGAAAUGCGAUAAGUAAUGUGAAUUGCAGAAUUCAGUGAAUCAUCGAAUCUUUGAACGCACCUUGCGCCCCUUGGUUAUUCCGAAGGGCAUGCCUGUUUGAGUAUCAUGAACACAUCAACUCUUGUGGUUUCCCACAAUGAGCUUGGACUUUGGAGGUUUGUUGGCCCUGUGGUCGGCUCCUCUCAAAUGGAUUAGCUCACCAGUGUUUGGUGGCGUCAUGGGUGUGAUAACUAUCUACGCUCAUGGUCGUCUCCGAGUAACCUCUAUAGUGUUGGAGGUUCGCUGGAGCUUAUAAAUGUCUCUCUGCAGUGGGGACAGCUUUUGAACGUUUGAUCUCAAAUCAGGUAGGACUACCCGCUGAACUUAAGCAUAUCAAU
rnacentral:rRNA from 1 species